rnacentral:rRNA from 1 species
GACGAACCGUGCGAACGUUGUUCGGAAUCACUGGGCUUAAAGGGCGCGUAGGCGGGCCCCCUUGUCCGGGGUGAAAGCUUUCGGCUUAACCGGAAAAGUGCCCCCGGAAACGGGGGGGCCUGGAGGGAGGUAGGGGCGGCCGGAACUCCGGUGGAGCGGUGAAAUGCGUUGAUAUCGGAAGGAACGCCGGGUGGCGAAGGC